CAGUCCCUCCCUCGGCCGCCUCUCCGCCCGGAGCGAGCGCGCAGCCCCGCGCAGCAGCGCCCACCGGUCCCGUCCUGUGAGCCCCGGCCGCAGCCGCGGACAGCCCCGCGGAGUCGCCUCCCGGCCCACCCGCCCGGCCGCCGAGGAGCGGGAGGAGGACGGGACCCCGGCGCCUCCACCCCCCUACCCGCGGGAGGUCUCUAGGAAGGAGCUGAUGUGGAGGAGCAGCUGAGACGGUCCACGAUGACGACCACGGUAGCCACAGACUACGACAACAUUGAGAUCCAGCAGCAGUACAGCGAUGUCAACAACCGCUGGGACGUGGACGACUGGGACAACGAGAACAGCUCCGCCAGGCUCUUUGAGCGGUCGCGCAUCAAGGCUCUGGCAGAUGAACGUGAAGCCGUGCAGAAGAAGACCUUCACCAAGUGGGUCAACUCCCACCUUGCCCGGGUGUCCUGCCGGAUCACAGACCUGUACACUGACCUUCGGGAUGGACGGAUGCUCAUCAAGCUGCUGGAAGUGCUCUCUGGAGAGAGACUGCCUAAACCCACCAAGGGACGAAUGCGCAUCCACUGUCUGGAGAAUGUGGACAAGGCCCUUCAGUUCCUGAAGGAGCAGAGAGUCCAUCUUGAGAACAUGGGGUCCCAUGACAUCGUGGAUGGGAACCACCGGCUGACCCUCGGCCUUAUCUGGACCAUCAUCCUGCGCUUCCAGAUCCAGGAUAUCAGUGUGGAAACUGAAGACAACAAAGAGAAGAAGUCUGCCAAGGAUGCACUGCUGUUGUGGUGCCAGAUGAAGACAGCAGGGUACCCCAAUGUCAACAUUCACAACUUCACCACUAGCUGGAGGGACGGCAUGGCCUUCAACGCACUGAUACACAAACACCGGCCUGACCUGAUAGAUUUUGACAAACUAAAGAAAUCCAAUGCACACUACAACCUGCAGAAUGCGUUUAACCUGGCAGAGCAGCACCUCGGCCUCACGAAACUGUUGGACCCAGAAGAUAUCAGUGUGGACCACCCCGAUGAGAAGUCCAUUAUCACUUAUGUGGUGACUUAUUACCACUACUUCUCAAAGAUGAAGGCCUUGGCUGUUGAAGGAAAACGAAUUGGAAAGGUGCUUGACAACGCUAUUGAAACAGAAAAAAUGAUUGAAAAGUAUGAAUCCCUUGCCUCUGACCUUCUGGAGUGGAUCGAACAAACCAUCAUUAUUUUGAACAAUCGCAAAUUUGCCAACUCGCUGGUUGGGGUUCAACAGCAGCUUCAGGCUUUCAACACUUACCGCACUGUGGAGAAGCCACCCAAAUUUACUGAGAAGGGGAACUUGGAAGUCCUGCUUUUCACUAUCCAGAGCAAGAUGAGGGCCAAUAACCAGAAGGUCUACAUGCCCCGGGAGGGGAAGCUCAUCUCUGACAUUAACAAGGCCUGGGAAAGACUGGAAAAAGCAGAACAUGAGCGAGAACUGGCCCUGCGGAAUGAGCUCAUAAGACAGGAGAAACUGGAACAGCUCGCCCGCAGAUUCGACCGCAAGGCAGCUAUGAGGGAGACCUGGCUGAGCGAGAACCAGCGUCUGGUGUCCCAGGACAACUUUGGAUUUGACCUUCCCGCAGUUGAGGCCGCCACGAAAAAGCACGAGGCCAUUGAGACAGACAUUGCUGCAUAUGAAGAGCGCGUGCAGGCCGUGGUGGCCGUGGCCAGGGAGCUGGAAGCAGAGAACUACCAUGACAUCAAGCGCAUCACGGCGAGGAAGGACAACGUCAUCCGGCUCUGGGAGUACCUGCUGGAACUGCUCAGGGCCCGGAGGCAGCGCCUUGAGAUGAACCUGGGGCUGCAGAAGAUAUUCCAGGAAAUGCUCUACAUUAUGGACUGGAUGGAUGAAAUGAAGGUGCUACUAUUGUCUCAAGACUAUGGCAAACACUUGCUUGGUGUGGAAGACCUGUUACAGAAGCAUGCCCUUGUUGAAGCGGACAUUGGCAUCCAGGCAGAGCGGGUGAGAGGUGUCAAUGCCUCUGCCCAGAAAUUUGCAACAGACGGAGAAGGUUACAAGCCCUGUGACCCCCAGGUGAUCCGAGACCGCGUGGCCCACAUGGAGUUCUGUUACCAAGAGCUUUGCCAGCUGGCGGCGGAGCGCCGGGCCCGCCUGGAAGAGUCCCGUCGCCUCUGGAAGUUCUUCUGGGAGAUGGCUGAGGAGGAAGGCUGGAUCCGGGAGAAGGAGAAGAUCCUGUCCUCCGACGACUACGGCAAGGACCUCACCAGCGUCAUGCGCCUGCUCAGCAAGCACCGGGCGUUCGAGGACGAGAUGAGCGGCCGCAGCGGCCACUUCGAGCAGGCCAUCAAGGAGGGAGAAGACAUGAUCGCUGAGGAGCACUUCGGGUCGGAGAAGAUCCGGGAGCGGAUCGCCUACAUCCGCGAGCAGUGGGCCCACCUGGAGCAGCUCUCGGCCAUCCGCAAGAAGCGCCUGGAGGAGGCCUCACUGCUGCACCAGUUCCAGGCGGACGCCGACGACAUCGACGCCUGGAUGCUGGACAUCCUCAAGAUCGUCUCCAGCAGCGAUGUGGGCCACGACGAGUACUCCACCCAGUCCCUGGUCAAGAAGCACAAGGACGUGGCGGAGGAGAUCGCCAACUACCGGCCCACCAUCGACGCGCUGCACGAGCAGGCCGGCGCCCUCCCCCAGGAGCAUGCCGAGUCCCCCGACGUGCAGGGCCGGCUGGCGGGCAUCGAGGAGCGCUACAAGGAGGUGGCCGAGCUGACGCGGCUGCGGAAGCAGGCGCUGCAGGACACCCUGGCCCUGUACAAGAUGUUCAGCGAGGCCGACGCCUGCGAGCUCUGGAUCGACGAGAAGGAGCAGUGGCUCAACAACAUGCAGAUCCCAGAGAAGCUGGAGGACCUGGAGGUCAUCCAGCACAGAUUUGAGAGCCUGGAACCGGAGAUGAACAACCAGGCUUCCCGGGUGGCGGUGGUGAACCAGAUCGCACGGCAGCUGAUGCACAGCGGCCACCCGAGUGAGAAGGAGAUCAAGGCCCAGCAGGACAAGCUCAACACGAGGUGGAGUCAGUUCAGGGAGCUGGUGGACCGGAAGAAGGAUGCUCUCCUCUCCGCCCUGAGCAUUCAGAACUACCACCUUGAGUGCAAUGAAACCAAGUCCUGGAUUCGGGAAAAGACCAAGGUCAUCGAAUCCACCCAGGACCUGGGCAAUGACCUGGCGGGCGUCAUGGCCCUGCAGCGCAAGCUGACCGGCAUGGAGCGGGACCUGGUGGCCAUCGAGGCGAAGCUGAGUGACCUGCAGAAGGAGGCUGAGAAGCUGGAGUCCGAGCACCCCGACCAGGCCCAGGCCAUCCUGUCUCGGCUGGCCGAGAUCAGCGACGUGUGGGAGGAGAUGAAGACCACGCUGAAGAACCGCGAGGCCUCUCUGGGAGAGGCCAGCAAGCUGCAGCAGUUCCUGCGGGACCUGGAUGACUUCCAGUCCUGGCUGUCCAGGACCCAGACGGCCAUCGCCUCGGAGGACAUGCCCAACACCCUGACGGAGGCUGAGAAGCUCCUCACGCAGCAUGAGAACAUCAAAAAUGAGAUUGACAACUACGAGGAGGACUACCAGAAGAUGAGGGACAUGGGCGAGAUGGUCACUCAGGGCCAGACCGAUGCCCAGUACAUGUUUCUGCGGCAGCGGCUGCAGGCCCUGGAUACCGGGUGGAACGAGCUCCACAAGAUGUGGGAGAACAGGCAGAACCUCCUCUCCCAGUCCCACGCCUACCAGCAGUUCCUGCGGGACACAAAGCAGGCCGAAGCCUUCCUUAACAACCAGGAGUAUGUCUUGGCCCAUACUGAAAUGCCCACCACCUUGGAAGGAGCUGAAGCAGCUAUUAAAAAGCAAGAGGACUUCAUGACCACCAUGGAUGCCAAUGAGGAGAAGAUCAAUGCGGUCGUGGAGACAGGCCGGAGGCUGGUGAGCGAUGGGAACAUCAACUCGGAUCGCAUCCAAGAGAAGGUGGACUCUAUCGAUGACAGACAUAGGAAGAACCGUGAGGCAGCCAGUGAGCUCCUGAUGAGACUGAAGGACAACAGGGAUCUUCAGAAAUUCCUGCAAGAUUGUCAGGAGCUGUCUCUCUGGAUCAAUGAAAAGAUGCUUACAGCCCAGGACAUGUCUUAUGAUGAAGCCAGAAAUCUGCACAGUAAAUGGUUAAAGCAUCAAGCCUUCAUGGCAGAACUCGCAUCCAACAAAGAAUGGCUUGACAAAAUUGAGAAGGAAGGAAUGCAGCUCAUUUCAGAAAAGCCAGAGACAGAAGCCGUGGUGAAGGAGAAACUCACAGGUUUACAUAAAAUGUGGGAAGUCCUUGAAUCCACCACACAGACCAAGGCCCAGCGGCUGUUUGAUGCAAACAAAGCUGAACUCUUCACCCAGAGCUGUGCGGAUCUGGACAAAUGGCUGCACGGCCUGGAGAGUCAGAUUCAAUCUGACGACUAUGGCAAAGACCUCACCAGUGUCAACAUCCUGCUGAAAAAGCAACAGAUGCUGGAGAAUCAGAUGGAGGUGCGGAAGAAGGAGAUCGAGGAGCUCCAGAGCCAGGCGCAGGCCCUGAGCCAGGAGGGCAAGAGCACGGACGAGGUGGACAGCAGGCGCCUCACCGUACAGACCAGGUUCCUGGAGCUGCUGGAGCCCCUGAGCGAGAGGAAGCAGAACCUGCUGGCCUCCAGAGAGAUCCAUCAGUUCAACAGGGACGUGGAGGACGAGAUCUUGUGGGUUGGAGAGAGGAUGCCUUUGGCAACUUCCACAGAUCAUGGCCAUAACCUCCAGACCGUGCAGCUGUUAAUAAAGAAAAAUCAGACCCUGCAGAAGGAGAUCCAGGGGCACCAGCCUCGCAUCGACGACAUCUUCGAGAGGAGCCAGAACAUCAUCACCGACAGCAGCAGCCUCAAUGCCGAGGCCAUCCGGCAGAGGCUGGCCGACCUGAAGCAGCUGUGGGGCCUGCUCAUCGAGGAGACAGAGAAGCGGCACCGGCGGCUGGAGGAGGCGCACAGGGCCCAGCAGUACUACUUCGACGCAGCCGAGGCCGAGGCGUGGAUGAGCGAGCAGGAGCUGUACAUGAUGUCCGAGGAGAAGGCCAAGGACGAGCAGAGUGCCGUCUCCAUGUUGAAGAAGCACCAGAUUCUGGAACAAGCCGUGGAGGACUACGCAGAGACGGUGCAUCAGCUCUCCAAGACCAGCCGGGCCCUGGUGGCCGACAGCCAUCCUGAGAGUGAGCGCAUCAGCAUGCGGCAGUCCAAGGUCGACAAGCUGUACGCAGGCCUCAAGGACCUGGCCGAGGAGAGGAGGGGCAAGCUGGACGAGAGGCACCGGCUGUUCCAGCUCAACCGUGAGGUGGACGACCUGGAGCAGUGGAUCGCCGAGAGGGAGGUGGUCGCGGGGUCGCACGAGUUGGGGCAGGACUAUGAGCACGUCACGAUGCUACAAGAACGAUUCCGGGAGUUUGCCCGGGACACAGGGAACAUUGGGCAGGAACGCGUGGACACGGUCAAUCACAUGGCAGAUGAACUCAUCAAUUCUGGACAUUCGGAUGCCGCCACCAUCGCCGAGUGGAAGGACGGGCUCAACGAAGCCUGGGCUGACCUCCUGGAGCUCAUCGACACGAGAACUCAGAUCCUCGCUGCCUCCUAUGAACUGCACAAGUUUUACCACGAUGCCAAGGAGAUCUUUGGGCGCAUCCAGGACAAACACAAGAAGCUCCCUGAGGAGCUCGGGCGAGAUCAGAACACAGUGGAGACCUUACAGAGAAUGCACACCACGUUUGAACACGACAUCCAGGCUCUGGGCACUCAGGUGAGGCAGCUGCAGGAGGAUGCAGCCCGCCUCCAGGCGGCCUAUGCGGGCGACAAGGCUGACGACAUCCAGAAGCGGGAGAACGAGGUCCUGGAAGCCUGGAAGGCCCUGCUGGACGCCUGUGAGGGCCGCAGGGUGCGGCUGGUGGACACAGGGGACAAGUUCCGCUUCUUCAGCAUGGUGCGUGACCUCAUGCUGUGGAUGGAGGAUGUCAUCCGGCAGAUCGAAGCCCAGGAGAAGCCACGGGAUGUGUCAUCUGUUGAACUAUUAAUGAAUAAUCAUCAAGGUAUCAAAGCUGAAAUUGAUGCUCGUAAUGACAGUUUCACGACCUGCAUUGAACUUGGGAAAUCCCUGCUGGCAAGAAAGCACUACGCAUCCGAGGAGAUCAAGGAGAAGUUACUGCAGUUGACGGAAAAGAGGAAAGAAAUGAUUGACAAGUGGGAAGACCGAUGGGAAUGGUUAAGACUGAUCUUGGAGGUCCAUCAGUUCUCAAGGGACGCCAGUGUGGCCGAGGCCUGGCUGCUCGGACAGGAGCCCUACCUAUCCAGCCGAGAAAUAGGCCAGAGCGUGGAUGAGGUGGAGAAGCUCAUCAAGCGCCACGAGGCUUUUGAAAAGUCUGCAGCGACCUGGGACGAGAGGUUCUCCGCCCUGGAAAGGCUGACGACGUUGGAGCUACUGGAAGUGCGCAGACAGCAAGAGGAAGAGGAGAGGAAGAGGCGGCCGCCUUCUCCCGAGCCAAGCACGAAGGUUUCCGAGGAGACCGAGUCCCAGCAGCAGUGGGAUACUUCAAAAGGAGAGCAAGUUUCCCAGAAUGGUUUGCCGGCUGAACAGGGAUCUCCACGGGUUAGUUACCGCUCUCAAACCUACCAAAACUACAAAAACUUUAAUAGCAGACGGACAGCCAGUGACCAGCCGUGGUCUGGACUGUGAAGUUCACUACCAUUUGUCAAGAACCACUCUUUCCAGAUCCUGUUGGUUUGACCUUUUGGCUUCCACUUCACCCACAGUGUUAAAAAUUUUGCUUAAUUCAUAGCCUUCCUUGGUUUCAUAUUUGUUUGCAUUUAAUUCAUGUUUAUUUGAGUCUUUUAACUGAUGGAUGCUCAGUUACCUGAAAGCAACAUACAUAUUUUUUGUUUAUUUAUCGUGAGCUUUUUUACUUUAUUAAGAUUUUGCAGCGAAAGCCUUACGUGAGUAAUUGAAAUUAAAUGAGAUUACAGCAAAAUGAAGAAGAAAACUAGAGUCGGACAGGUAUGACACAUCCAGUUAUACUAACAGGGUGCAGUCCUGCACUAUACGUAGCCCCCUUUACAGAGUUAUUAACCUGCAGUAGUUAACUAGGAACGGAGGAGGGGGACUUUCAGCACUAAGAUUAAAACCUAAAGUCAGCUGUGUAACAUUCCACGAGGGAUGCAUUCAUUUACUGAAAAUGACAACAACAAAAAGUUGAAUCUACUUGGGAAGCUCUUUUAACUUUAGGCACAGAAUCUGAACUGCUUUGAGAGCCUCAGAUCAUUCAUUACUGUUUUACAAACCAGUUCCUCUCUUUAUUUUUUUCUGCCAAGUCCUGAACUGAGAAUUGUAGGCUUGCUUGCAGCAGACAGUGCAGCCGGCCUCAGGAGUCAGGUGCCCGCUGACGGCUGCCACCACCUCUGUCUGAGUCACUGUGGGCACCGCCAGGAUGCGAGACGUGGCGGGUGUGGCCGUGCUUCUCGGCCUGUUGGGGAAGCCUGCCUGCCAGACUUCUGUGCCUCUCUGUUCAGUUGAUGACUUCAGGGUGUCAAACUGUUUAAAUUUUUCAAACAAAUGGAACAAAAGCCAUUCUGGUUCACCCUGAUUACUUGAACGAUGCAUUUGGGGGACCACCCCGGGAGCCGUGGCCUGCGUCCGGGCUCCAGAAGUCCUUUCAGUGUCUGUAGACAGAAACUCCGUUGUGCGUCUCGUAUGUAUCUUCUGAUUCAUUUUUCAUUUUCUUACGACUUUUUUGUGGCACUCUCUAAUAAGGAGUCUUUUAGGAUGGCAUUUAUCAGACCACCAGCAGGGAUCGAAAAUGUUUUAAUAGCAGUUCUGUUUACCAAAUCAAGUCCAUAUUACAUCAGAGCCUUGUGAGACAUUCACUUGCUCAUUUGCCAUGUUUAGAUGUUAGUGGAAUCAGAAAACCUGUUUUGAUAUGUUCUCCAUGAGUUAAGUCUAAUUUGUCUUUUCAUUUCAUGAUGCAUGUCUUUUUUUUCUUUUGUCAGGAUAACAUCAUAUAGCAUCUUGUUUGUUUUUUCCUUAUUUCUAUGUACAUAUCUAUCUACUUGCGACUGUAGAUGGGUAUAUAGAUAGAUGCCAAGCUUCUUAUGUUCUGGGAGUAGUGUGCACCAUUAUUGGGUCUCUGCCUUAAAACACCAAAAUUCAUUUUAGAAAAAAACUACUGCUUCAUCUUUGGUCAUUAGGGAGCCCUGACAUGUGUUUCUGGCUCCAAAUGAUAUGUGUCAUUGAUCUAUAUGUAUAUAUGUGAUGUGUCCAUAUAUAUAUGUUUAAAUUUUGUAUCAUUAGAACUAAUACCCAAUUUUAUGCCUUUUGUAUUCAGAAGACCAGAAAAAAAGAAAAAAAGCCACAUAAGCACACAGGAAAAGGAGUGCUGUGAUGUUUUUGUCUUUGGCAUUUGUUCUCAUGCCUAGUUUUAUCUAGAUUUUUAAAUUGUAAUUGGAUUGUAUCAGAAGAGGAAAAGCUCUUUUCCUUCUUCUGAGUUACAGUGCAGAGACUCAAGUUAAUGAACUUGAAAAUAGAGUUGCUUCUUGCACUUAGAAAACCAAUCAGGUGUUCCUUGUGCUACUAGUUGUCACGUUGCAUUCAUGUUCACCUCCUGAUUGGAAUAUCUCAGGCGUACCCAGCCACUAAAGCACUCUGGACUAAUCGCUAAAGAGAAGCACUGUGGGGUGGCGGUAGGGGUGUAUCUACGUGUACCCACUGUUUGGUCACAGCACUACGAUUUGCUUUUGAUGUUUGUCUCUAGUGGCGUGUUGUCUGUUGGCAUGCUUAAGCACAUGUCCAUUAAAAUUCAUUUUGUUCCUUUUAUUUUCCUUGUUUUCUUGGUUAGUGAUUCAUUUGCAUAAACAUUAAUUAUCUCUGCAUACUGGUUUGGGGUUUUCUCUUUCCUUCUAACUCUAAAGAAAAAAAUUUUUGCUGCAGAAUUUCCCCCAGAAGAGGCUUUCCCUGGCCUUCACCUACCUUAAAGUUUGACCAAGUAUGAUAAAUUUUAGCCUUUUCCCAGUAAACAUUCCUCUGUCCGGGUCAUUGCUGUCACUAGCAGUUUUGGAGUCACACCUGCAGCACUAAUUUUUUUUUAACCUGGUUUCUAUACACACUAACCCCAUGUCUCCCUGGUCUCAUGCCUGGCACAGGCCUUCCAGACCAAUCUCAUACUUCCUCCCCACCAGAAUUUUCUGGAAAUCUCACACUAGAACAGAUUUGUCAACCUUAAAAUCCCCUCUCUUUUGAUGCGGGGGUUUUGGGGUUUUUUGGUGACUCUUUCCCCUUUGUCUCUCCUUUAAAAGUGAGAGGCAAGAGAGAUAUUUAAACACCCUGUUGCUUAUACACAUGUGUCUACAGGCUGUCACUUGCAAGGCCAGGGUAAUUGCCAUGCAUUUCCCCCCACCCUGCCCAUGCCUUUCUGCCCUGCGAAUCCGUUCUCCACGUUGCUUUGUGGAUAAAGGGUUCUAUUCAUAAACACCCUUCACGUGCAUAGCCUCUAGUCUUAAACACUGCUGCUGACAGUGAUAGUUUGUGUAGACAGAAUAUAAACUUGACUCCCGCCCCAACAGUUAGAUAAGACCCAGCAGAGACAUCCAGUUCCUGAGAGUUGACAUAUCUGAUGUUCAGGCAGUGGUGGCCAGUCUCCCAUUGAUGCUGUUGAGGUUGUUGCUGCUAAUUUGGUGUCACCUGGUUCUGGGCAGCCGUGGUGGGGGACGUAUCUAAUGAACGUGCCAUUGACACCUCUGUGUUUGUCCGUGUACGAGGGGUGCAGGUUGUCUGUAAUCCACUAAAGCGUCAGCCACACCCAGCUUUAGUAACUCGCUAAUCCCACACCCUGGGUGUAUCAGCCAGGGGCCGCUACAGUUCAUGGCACACAGUUGAUGGCACAGAGGCUGAAAGCAAUAAUGAAUGGAGACCCUACUGCAUUUCCCAAGCCGGAAAGCCAUGAGGGUUACAAUAUAAAUGAGCUUGGGAAGGAACAGCUCCCGAAGACGUCUCCAGCCUGAAGGGUCGGAGCCGCUGGAAGCCUGGCUGUCUGGGCUUUCUCGUCUCAGUGCAGCAAGGCACCGUGAUCAACCAACACGUGAUGGGGAAGGCCCUGGUUCUGUCUUUGUUUGGGGAUGGCAGAAAUGGUGGACACGAGCGAAAUGGUCAACGGCGCUGCAGAACAGAGGACAAGCUCGAAAGAGUCCAGCC